UUUCUUAUGGGCUAAAAUCAAUUAUAGUAUGAUAAAUAAGGUGGUUUUCCGAGGGUGAGGCCUGUCCCUUGCACUCCAGGCCGGCUGAUCCCUGCAAGUUGCCACAAUGCAGGAAACUUGACUGCACAAUUUUGUGGUAAUGGGGGACUACAUUCCACUUUCCCAUC